CCUACGGGAGGCUGCAGUGAGGAAUAUUGGUCAAUGGGCGGAAGCCUGAACCAGCCAAGUAGCGUGCAGGAUGACGGUCCUAUGGGUUGUAAACCUCUUUUAUCCGGGAACAACGCGCCUUACGUGUAGGGCUUUGCAAGUACCGUAAGAAAAAGGAUCGGCUAACUCCGUGCCAGCAGCCGCGGUAAUACGGAAGGUCCGAGCGUUAUCCGGAUUUAUUGGGUUUAAAGGGUGCGUAGGCGGCAUGUCAAGCGUGCUGUAAAAUGUCCGGGCUCAACCCGGGCCUUGCAGCGCAAACUGGCGUGCUUGAGUGCGCGAGAAGCAUGCGGAAGGCGUGGUGUAGCGGUGAAAUGCUUAGAUAUGACGAAGAACCCCGAUUGCGAAGGCAGCAUGCUGCAGCGGAACUGACGCUGAUGCUCGAAAGCGCGGGUAUCGAACAGGAUUAGAUACCCGUGUAGUC
rnacentral:rRNA from 1 species